GGUAUUGCUGGGUCAAAUGGAAUUUCUGUUUCUAAGGCCUUGAGGAAUCGCCACACCAUCUUCCACAAUGGUUGGACUAAUUUACACUCCCACCAACAGUGUAAAAGUGUUCCUUUUUCUCCACAUCCUCUCCAGCAUCUGCUGUCUCCAGAUUUUUUAAUGAUCACCAUUCUAACUGGCGUGAGAUGGUAUCUCAAUGUGGUUUUGAUUUGCAUCUCUCUGAUGACCAGUGACAAUGAGCAUUUUUUCAUAUGAUUGUUGGCCUCAUAUAUGUCUUCUUUCGUAAAGUGUCUGCUCAUAUCCUUUGCCCACUUUUGAAUGGGCUUGUUUGUUUUUUUCCUGUAAAUCUUCAUAUGAUUGUUGGCCUCGUAUAUGUCUUCUUUCGUAAAGUAUCUGUUCAUAUCCUUUGCCCACUUUUGAAUGGGCUUGUUUGUUUUUUUCCUAUAAAUCUGUUUGAGUUCUUUGUAAAUUCUGGAUAUCAGCCCUUUGUCAGAUGGGUAGACUGCAAAAAUUUUUUCCCAUUCUGUUGGUUGCCGAUCCACUCUAGUGACUGUUUCGUUUGCCGUGCAGAAGCUGUGGAGUUUCAUUAGGUCCCAUUUGUCUAUUUUGGCUUUUGUUGCCAAUGCUUUUGGUGUUUUGUUCAUGAAGUCCUUGCCUACUCCUAUGUCCUGGAUGGUUUUGCCUAGAUUUCCUUCUAGGGUUGUUAUGGUGCCAGGUCUUAUGUUUAAGUCUUUAAUCCAUCUGGAGUUAAUUUUAGUGUAAGGUGUCAGGAAGGGGUCCAGUUUCUGCUUUCUGCACAUGGCUAGCCAGUUUUCCCAACACCAUUUGUUAAACAUGGAAUCCUUUCCCCAUUGCUUGUUUUUGUCGGGUUUAUCAAAGAUUGUAUAGUUGUAUGUAUGUUGUGUUGCCUCCGGUGCCUCUGUUUUGUUCCAUUGGUCUAUAUCUCUGUUUUGGUACCAGUACCAUGCUGUUUUGAUUACUGUAGCCUUGUAGUAUAGUUUGAAAUCCAGUAGUGUGAUGCCCCCCACUGUGUUCUUUUUGCUUAGAAUUGACUUGGCUAUGUGGGCUCUCUUUUGGUUCCAUAUGAAGUUCAUGGUGGUUUUUUCCCGUUCUGUGAAGAAAGUCAAUGGUAGCUUGAUGGGGAUAGCGUUGAUUCUGUAAAUUACUUUGGGCAGUAUAGCCAUUUUCACGAUAUUAAUUCUUCCUAACCAUGAACAUGGAAUGUUUCUCCAUCUGUUUGUGUCCUCUCUGAUUUCGUU
rnacentral:lncRNA from 1 species